CGGAGGGUGCAAGCGUUAUCCGGAUUCACUGGGUUUAAAGGGUGCGUAGGUGGGCAGGUAAGUCAGUGGUGAAAUCUCCGGGCUUAACCCGGAAACUGCCAUUGAUACUAUCAGUCUUGAAUACCCUGGAGGUGAGCGGAAUAUGUCAUGUAGCGGUGAAAUGCUUAGAUAUGACAUAGAACACCCAUUGCGAAGGCAGCUCACUACGGGAAUAUUGACACUGAGGCACGAAAGCGUGGGGAUCAAACAGGAUUAGAUACCCUGGUAGUCCACGCCCUAAACUAUGGAUACUCGACAUCGGCGAUAAACUGUUGGUGUCUGAGCGAAAGCAUUAAGUAUCCCACCUGGGAAGUACGAUCGCAAGAUUG
rnacentral:rRNA from 1 species